AUACGGAGGGUGCAAGCGUUGUUCGGAAUCACUGGGCGUAAAGGGCGCGUAGGCGGCUUGGCAAGUCAGAUGUGAAAGUCCACGGCUUAACCGUGGAAGUGCAUUUGAAACUGCCUGGCUUGAGUAUCAGAGGGGAAGGUGGAAUUCCCGGUGUAGAGGUGAAAUUCGUAGAUAUCGGGAGGAAUACCGGUGGCGAAGGCGACUUUCUGGCUGAAUACUGACGCUGAGGCGCGAAAGCGUGGGGAGCAAACAGGAUUAGAUACCCUGGUAGUCCACGCCGUAAACGAUGUCAACUAGAUGCAGGGGGUGUUGAUCCCCUCUGUGUCGCAGUUAACGCAUUAAGUUGACCGCCUGGGGAGUACGGUCGCAAGAUUAAA
rnacentral:rRNA from 1 species